UGAGAGAAAGAAAAGACAAAACUUUAUGACUCUUUCAUUUCUAAAUACAGCAGGUUAUCGCAGAAGCUGAAGUCGCCGAGUGCCACAGGAACAGUGAAAAUAGUCACAAAUAGACCUGCAAGUACACGACACUGAAAUGAGUAUCCUGCACUGUUCAGAGGGCGCUACGACGCUUUCAUUUUUUCGCCCCAGCAUCGCCGACAUCAGCCGCUAGAGAUGUGGCGAAAAUGACAUGCCCGCCAUUCCAAACGAUGGUAGUCACUUUUAGUCACUCGACUGAGCGUCAUGCUCUGCGCUUCGACGAGGUCAAGCCCACGAUUGUUCACCAAGGAGGUUAAAGAAAAACUGUUGGAGUGGAGGGAUAACUGCAUGCUUCACGUUACUGAAUAUUUUACACGAGCUUUUCAUGACGAACAAAAGAGCGAGGGGUACGCUAGUCUGUAACAAAGAUGCGUUUAUUGUAUUUCUUUUUAAUGCGUUACCUCGACGUGUUUCGCUCUUGAUCAAAGCUUGGCAAUGUGGUGAGCGCGAUUUAAAUCAGGGGUCCGGGACCUCUAAGAGGUACGACGUAAUGCUGACGCAUUUCUUUCGCAUCUACGCUAAGUCGACGCUGACUUUACUUUUUUAUGAGAAGCUUUUUAUUAAAUGUUUCCGCCCACUUUGCGUGGACGGCCGUGUGGCCGAGUAAACUUGGCUUGGCCGAUCCCCGAAACAGCGUAAUCAAAGGUGGCGACUUGUCUGGCCGAUCAUGACACCAGUACACCCUAAAGUACUGACUGCAAAAAUCCAGUGCAACAUUGCGCGCACCGCUUCAUCAGUGGCUGCAGAAAACGUUCACGGGAGCGCGCGCGAACAAUCAGGUUUGGAGAACAAUGGACCGUUGCUCUGUACCCUCUCUUUCACUUCUUGCUGCUGGCUUCGCCCGAGUUCUCUUGGAAAACACACAUGCGUCAUCCUAUCCGUUGUAAGACGCGUCGGCAAGAUGGCUGCUCGGAAUGUUCAAGACAUGUAAACUUACUGCAGGCGCUGUUGGUACGACACACGACGGAUCGCAUGGUUCUUGGACAGGAGACACACGGUACGAACAAUCCAAGGGCGACCUUCUCGCGACAGCAUACAGCCCUACACUACCGCCGGCUAGGCCCAGCAGCACUGCCUCAUCAGUAGCUGGCAAUCAAAGUUGAGGUAUCAUGCCAAGUCAAUGGAAUGCUUCACAAUGGCUUUACAGCACAUGAAAAGCAGAGGAACCACCUCGACCAUGAAAUGUUUUCUUUUUGUACUUCUUAGAAACAAAUAUUCAGUGUUAAUUAACUCUUUAAAAGAUCUUGGCAACCUAAAGUUGUCACGAGCAAUUGUCACUUUUUGACCAAAAUCUGAAUGGCUGCUUUCUUACUUCUAAACAUAGAUGGCAAUAGACAUACUAUUAUCAUCUGUUUUAUUGAAUUAGAUUUUACACAUUAUUUGCAGUCACAUUUGUGUGUUCUAAAUAUGUUAUUCAAGCAUAUCACGUGAAAUAAAUGAGUCAUUAUAGUA